GACGAACGCUGGCGGCGUGCUUAACACAUGCAAGUCGAACGGAAAGGCCCUGCUUUUGUUGGGUGCUCGAGUGGCGAACGGGUGAGUAACACGUGAGUAACCUGCCCUUGACUUUGGGAUAACUUCAGGAAACUGGGGCUAAUACCGGAGAGGAGCUCCUGCUGCAUGGUGUGGGUUGGAAAGUUUCGGCGGUUGUGGAUGGACUCGCGGCUUAUCAGCUUGUUGGUGGGGUAGUGGCGUACCAAGGCUUUGACGGGUAGGCGGCCUGGGAGGGUGGACGGGCACCAUGGGCCUGAGGUACGGCGCAGACUACUACGGGAGGCAGCAGUGGGGAAUAUUGCACAAUGGGGGGAAGCCUGAUGCAGCAACGCCGCGUGCGGGAUGACGGCCUUCGGGUUGUAAACCGCUGUCGCCUGUGACGAAGCGUGAGUGACGGUAAUGGGUAAAGAAGCACCGGCUAACUACGUG
rnacentral:rRNA from 1 species